CCAAAUGUGAUUAGGGCGGUAUGAGUGGGGAGAUUGAGGGAUACACUUCAACAUUUUUCUUCAUCUGGAUUUCAACUUUUGUUUCAACUUUCUUUAUAAAAAUGGAUAACAGAAUCUAUAUACAUGUAUAUUGAAUGUGUGUCUUUAUUUAAAAAAAAACCCAGAAUCAUUAGUGCGUGCAAUCAGAUUGGACCAUUCUGAAGAUUGUCAAAGAAAUUGUUCAUUCAAAUAUGUACAAGAAUAGGCCUGUAAAUACAACCAGUAACUUAGUCCAGUCCAAGUAUGUGUGCUUCUGUGGCUGUCAUCAGUGUUCAGUGUGUGUGAAGAUUCUGUUUAGUAAUAAAGCAGCUUUUGAUGUGGACCAGAGGGCUAAGUACAUGUAGUAUAAUUAACUCUGUGGCAAAACGUCUUCCCUGUUUUGGCGAAUCGGAGGUCUUGCCACAAUAUGGUGAUUUAGUAUUCAGAAGUCAAAGAAUGGUGUCAGAGUUGACCAUUUCAUUUUGUGUACAUAUACAUGUAUCUCAGUGUUAAGUUACCAGCCUACCGUUUUGUAUUUGAUUAUAUAGACUUGUUCUCAAUCUAGGCUAUUCAUUUUGCUUCUGAUAUCCACUCCUAAUUUUAUUCUGAAAUAAACUUUGAAAGAUAAAGUUAA
rnacentral:misc_RNA from 1 species